rnacentral:rRNA from 1 species
GAGGUGGGAUUACUCAGACAGCCAGGAGGUUGGCUUAGAAGCAGCCAUCCUUUAAAGAAAGCGUAAUAGCUCACUGGUCGAGUGACCCCGCGCAAAAAAUGUAACGGGGCUCAAGCAUAGUGCCGAAGUCGUAGAUGCCAGAUUCCUGCGGGAGACUGGCGUGGUAGGAGAGCGUUCUCAAGUAGAUACAAGGUAGACCGUGAGGACUGCUGACGGACUUGAGAAGUGAUUAUGCUGACACGAGUAAGCGAUAAAACGGGUGAAAAACCCGUUCGCCGUAAGCCUAAGGGUUCCUGGGUAAAGUUCGUCUUCCCAGGUUUAGUCGGACCCUAAGCCGAGGCCGAAAGGCGUAGGCGAUGGAAACCAGGUCAAUAUUCCUGGACCUGCUUUAGUGCGUUAUUAACUAAGGAGGGACGGAGAAGGAUAGGUCAGUCGGGUGUUGGACAUCCCGAUUCAAGCCGGUAGGUUCGGAGUGUAGGUAAAUCCGCAUUCCUUAUACCGAGAGGCGAGUACGAGGGCGAAAGCCCAUAAAGUGACUGAUUCCAUGCUUCCGAGAAAAGCUUCGUAGUGAGUACUAAGGUGGACCGUACCGCAAACCGACACAGGUAGGCAGGAAGAAAAUUCUAAGGCGCUUGAGAGAACCAUGGUUAAGGAACUCGGCAAAUUGUGUCCGUAACUUCGGGAGAAGGACAGCUCCUUUUGGUGUAGGGAUUUACUCCUGAAGCUAAGGGGAGUCGCAGAGAAUAGGGGAUUGCAACUGUUUAUCAAAAACACAGGUCUGUGCAAACUCGGAAGAGGACGUAUACAGACUGACGCCUGCCCAGUGCUGGAAGGUUAAGAGGAGAAGUUAGCUUCGGCGAAGCUUCGAAUCGAAGCCCUAGUAAACGGCGGCCGUAACUAUAACGGUCCUAAGGUAGCGAAAUUCCUUGUCGGGUAAGUUCCGACCCGCACGAAUGGCGUAAUGACAUUCCCACUGUCUCAACCAUGGGCUCAGCGAAACUGGACUAUCGGUGCAAAUACCGAUUACCCGCAGUUAGACGGAAAGACCCUGUGCACCUUUACUAUAACUUGGCAGUGAGUUUUUGAAUUAACUGUGUAGGAUAGGUGGGAGACUUUGAGAUGAGGGCGCCAGCUCUCAUGGAGUCACCCUUGAAAUACCACCCUGUUGAUUUGAGAAUUCUAACUCUGAGCCACUUAAAAAUCUGGUUCGAGGACAUUGUCUGGUGGGUAGUUUGACUGGGGCGGUCGCCUCCCAAAGAGUAACGGAGGCGUGCGAAGGUUCUCUCAGGCUGAUUGGAAACCAGCCGUCGAGUGCAAAGGCAUAAGAGAGCUUAACUGCGAGACUGACAGGUCGAGCAGGUACGAAAGUAGGUCUUAGUGAUCCGGUGGUUCUGAAUGGAAGGGCCAUCGCUCAACGGAUAAAAGGUACUCCGGGGAUAACAGGCUGAUUCUGGCCAAGCGUUCAUAGCGACGCCAGAGUUUGGCACCUCGAUGUCGACUCAUCGCAUCCUGGGGCUGUAGAAGGUCCCAAGGGUUUGGCUGUUCGCCAAUUAAAGCGGUACGUGAGUUGGGUUCAGAACGUCGUGAGACAGUUCGGUCCCUAUCUGCUGUGGGUGUAGGAUACUUGAGGAGAGCUUUCCCUAGUACGAGAGGACCGGGAAGGACGAACCGCUGGUGUGCCAGUUGUCUCGCCAGAGGCAUUAGCUGGGUAGCUAUGUUCGGAACGGAGAAGCGCUGAAAGCAUCUAAGUGCGAAACCGACUCCAAAACAAGGUAUCCCUGGAACUUCAGUUCCCUAAAGACCCCUCGAAGACUACGAGGUUGAUAGGCUGGAUGUGGAAGCGCAGCGAUGCGUGGAGCUUACCAGUACUAAUUGGUCGUGAGGCUUAAUCAUAAAG